rnacentral:rRNA from 1 species
UGGCAAAUGUGAGAUGCAGUGUAUGGAGCGUCAAUAUUCUAGUAUGAGAAAUUAACGAUUUAAGUCCUUCUUAAAUGAGGCCAUUUACCCAUAGAGGGUGCCAGGCCCGUAUAACGUUAAUGAUUACUAGAUGAUGUUUCCAAAGAGUCGUGUUGCUUGAUAGUGCAGCACUAAGUGGGUGGUAAACUCCAUCUAAAACUAAAUAUAACCAUGAGACCGAUAGUAAACAAGUACCGUGAGGGAAAGUUGAAAAGAACUCUGAAUAGAGAGUUAAACAGUACGUGAAACUGCUUAGAGGUUAAGCCCGAUGAACCUGAAUAUCCGUUAUGGAAAAUUCAUCAUUAGAAUUGUAAUAUUUAAUAAAUAUUAUGAUAAUAGUGUGCAUUUUUUCCAUAUAAGGACAUUGUAAUCUAUUAGCAUAACAUUAUUUAUCAUAAAAUAUGGCUUAUAGUUUAUUCAAAUUAUUAUGCUUGCAUUUUAACAUAGAAUAAAUGUCAUUAAUUUGAUAAAGUGCUGAUAGAUUUAUAUGACUACAGUGCGUUAAUUUUUCGGAAUUAUAUAAUGGCAUGAUUAUCAUUGAUUUUUGUGUUUAUUAUAUGCACUUGUACGAUUAACAAUGCGAAAGAUUCAGGAUACCUUCGGGACCCGUCU